rnacentral:rRNA from 1 species
UACGUAGGGGGCUAGCGUUGUCCGGAAUCAUUGGGCGUAAAGCGCGUGUAGGCGGUUUGUUGCGUCGGCUGUGAAAUCCCGAGGCUCAACCUCGGGUCUGCAGUCGAUACGAGCAAACUAGAGUGUUGCAGGGGAGACUGGAAUUCCUGGUGUAGCGGUGAAAUGCGCAGAUAUCAGGAGGAACACCGGUGGCGAAGGCGGGUCUCUGGGCAGCAACUGACGCUGAGGAGCGAAAGCGUGGGGAGCGAACAGG